GGACCAAGGAGUCUAGCAUGUGCGCGAGUCAUUGGGACUCUUACUAAACCUAAAGGCGCAAUGAAAGUGAAGGUCCGCCUAGCGCGGACCGAGGGAGGAUGGGCGAUCCCGAGGGGUCGUCCCGCACUCCCGGGGCGUCUCGUUCUCACCGCGAGAAGAGGCGCACCCAGAGCGUACACGCUGGGACCCGAAAGAUGGUGAACUAUGCCUGGUCAGGACGAAGUCAGGGGAAACCCUGAUGGAGGUCCGUAGCGAUUCUGACGUGCAAAUCGAUCGUCGGAACUGGGUAUAGGGGCGAAAGACUAAUCGAACCAUCUAGUAGCUGGUUCCCUCCGAAGUUUCCCUCAGGAUAGCUGGCGCUCGCUUCUCGCGAGUCUCAUUCGGUAAAGCGAAUGAUUAGAGGCAUUGGGGUCGAAACGGCCUCAACCUAUUCUCAAACUUUAAAUGGGUGAGAUCUCCGGCUUGCUUGAACUGUGAAGCCGCGAGAUAUCGGAUCAGAGUGCCAAGUGGGCCACUUUUGGUAAGCAGAACUGGCGCUGUGGGAUGAACCAAACGCCGAGUUAAAGCGCCUAAAUCGACGCUUAUGGGAUACCAUGAAAGGCGUUGGUAACUUAAGACAGCAGGACGGUGGCCAUGGAAGUCGGA
rnacentral:rRNA from 1 species